GACGAAAGAGGGAGGCGUGCUUAACACAUGCAAGUCGAACGGAAAGGCCCUGCUUUUGUGGGGUGCUCGAGUGGCGAACGGGUGAGUAACACGUGAGUAACCUGUCCUUGACUUUGGGAUAACUUCAGGAAACUGGGGCUCAUACCGGAUAGGAGCUCCUGCUGCAUGGUGGGGGUUGGAAAGUUUCGGCGGUUGGGGAUGGACUCGCGGCUUAUCAGCUUGUUGGUGGGGUAGUGGCUUACCAAGGCUUUGACGGGUAGCCGGCCUGAGAGGGUGACCGGCCACAUUGGGACUGAGAUACGGCCCAGACUCCUACGGGAGGCAGCAGUGGAGAAUAUUGCACAAUGGGCGGAAGCCUGAUGCAGCAACGCCACGUGCGGGAUGACGGCCUUCGGUUUGUAAACCGCUUUCGCCUGUGACGAAGCGUGAGUGACGGUAAUGGGUAAAGAAGCACCGGCUAACUACGUG
rnacentral:rRNA from 1 species